UUCAGUAUCCUCACUGCCCAGUAGAUAGCACAGAGGCCCUUCGGAGUUUCCACAGUGGGGUGUUUCACUGCUGAGUUAAAGCAGUCAAUACCUUUGGCCCAAGAGAGAAGAAUCCCAUUUAUGGACUGGAUUCACAAGGUGUCUUCACAGCCCUUGGAUGUAGAAUUGCUGGCACUGAAUCUUCACCCAUGUGAUGGCCAAACAGACCUGCCUGCCCGUAUGAUGUACUUUUGCUAUGGCACAUCUGCAGCCUCCGAGCCAGCCACAGCCCCUGUAGUGCAUGCAGAGCGCAGGUAGAUGCCGAGUUUCAGAAAGGAAGGGCUGCCCUUACCCAGC